UUGGGGGUCUGUGGGGGCUCUGAGGGGAUUUGGGGGGGUUCAGGGGGGGAUCUGUGGGGGUUUUGGGGGGUUCUAAGGGGGUUCUGUCCCCAUUGUCCCCAUUGUCCCUAUUGUCCCUAUUGUUCCCAUGUCCCCAAAUCCCAUUGUCGCCAUGUCUGUGUGUCCCCAUAUCUGUGUGUCCCCAUUUGUCCCCAUUGUCCCCGUAUCGGUGUCCCCAUUUGUCCCCCUGUCCCCAUUGUCCCCAUUUGUCCCUUUCGUCUCCAUAUCUGUGUCCCCAUUUCUCCCCAUUUGUCCCCAUUUGUCCCCAUAUCUGUCCCCAUUGUCCCCACUUGUCGCUUUCGUCCCCAUAUCUGUGUGUCCCCAUUGUCCCCAUAUUUGUGUCCCCAUUGUCUUUACUGUCCCUUUUGUUCCCCAUUUGUCCCCAUUGUCCCUAUUUGUUCCUUUCGUCCCCAUAUCUGUGUCCCCAUUUGUCCCCAUUUGUCCCCAUUGUCUCCAUAUCCCAUUGUCUCGUCUGUCCCCAUUUGUCCCCAUUUGUCACCACUGACCCAUUGUCCCCAUAUCUGUGUGUCCCCAUUUGUCCCCACUGUCCCCAUUGUCCCCAUUUCCCCAUUUGUCCCCAAUGUCCCCAUAUCUGUGUCCCCAUUUGUCCCCAUUGUCUCCAUUGUCUUCAUAUCCUAUUGUCCCCUUUGUCCCCAUUUGUCCCCAAUGUCCCUGUUUCUGUGUGUCCCCAUUUGUCCCCAUUGUCCCCAUAUCCCAUUGUUCUCUCUGUCCCCAAUGUCCCCAUAUCUGUGUGUCCCCAUUUGUCCCCACUGUUCCUAUUGUCCCCAUUUCCCCAUUUGUCCCCAUUGUCUCCAUAUCUGUGUCCCCAUUUGUCCCCAUUGUCCCCAUUUGUCACUUUCGUCCCCAUAUCUGUGUGUCCCUGUUUGUUCCCAUAUCUGUGUCCCCAUUUGUCCCCCCUGUCCCCAUUGUUCCCAUUUGUCCCGUUUGUCCCCAUAUCUGUGUCCCCAUUUGUCCCCAUUUGUCCCCACUGACCCCAUUUGUCCCCACUGCCCCUAUUGUCCCCAUUUCCCUAUUUGUCCCCAUUGUCCCCAUAUCUGUGUGUCCCCAUUUGUCCCCAUUGUCCCCACUGUCCCUAUUGUCCCUAUUGUCCCCAUUUCCCUAUUUGUCCCCAUUGUCCCCAUAUCUGUGUGUCCCCAUUUGUCCCCAUUUGUCCCCACUGUCCCUAUUGUCCCUAUUGUCCCCAUUUCCUUAUUUGUCCCCAUUGUCCCCAUAUCCGUGUGUCCCCAUUGUCCCCUUUGUCCCGCUGUCACCACCCCAUUCCGGUCCCAUCCGCCCCGCAGGGUGGUGACAGUGACAUUGUGUAGGGUGACAUUGUCACCUCAACGGGGGAGGGGGGGGAGGGGACAGCAGGAAGUGACACACGGGGAAGGGGGGG
rnacentral:lncRNA from 1 species